AAAAAAAAAAACCAAACAGAUUGCGAGCCACCCGAGUCAAACAUUGUGAUGCUCAACUCACUACGUGAUUUCAAGGUUAACUCAAUUCUAACAAGCCAAGUUCAAAUAGGUCACGAGCCUCGCAACUCAUUUACACGCAUAUUUACCAUGGUUACAAACUAAAUUGAAUUAAAUUAAAACCUUCUGCUAAACACAAAUUAACAAACAUAAAUAUACACCAAAUUUAAGCUGCGUACCU
rnacentral:misc_RNA from 1 species